GCAGUCGAACGAGGGCCCGGAGCUUGCUCCGGUGACCCGAGUGGCGAACGGGUGAGUAACACGUGAUCAACCUGUCCUAGGGUGAGGGACAACCCGGGGAAACCUGGGCUAAUACCGCAUGAUGUCACACUUCCGCAUGGUGGUGUGAUCAAAGGGGGCCUCUGCUUGCAUGCUCUCGCCCAAGGAGGGGGUCGCGACGUAUCAGCUUGUUGGUGGGGUAACGGCCUACCAAGGCUACGACGCGUAGCGGAUCUGAGAGGAUGAUCCGUCACAUUGGGACUGAGAUACGGCCCAGACUCCUACGGGAGGCAGCAGUGGGGAAUAUUGCGCAAUGGGCGAAAGCCUGACGCAGCGACGCCGCGUGUGGGAGGAAGCCUUUCGGGGUGUAAACCACUGUCAGAGGGGAAGAACUCCGUCCUAGUGAAUAGCUAGGCGAAUGACGGUACCCUCAGAGGAAGCGCCGGCUAACUCCGUGCCAGCAGCCGCGGUAAGACGGAGGGCGCAAGCGUUGUUCGGAAUUACUGGGCGUAAAGCGCGGGCAGGUGGUCCGUUAAGUCGUUUGUGAAAAUCCGGGGCUCAACCCCGUGAAAUGCAGACGAUACUGGCGGNCUAGAGAUCGGUAGAGGCUAGCGGAAUUCCUGGUGUAGCGGUGGA
rnacentral:rRNA from 1 species